UUGGCUGCUAGCUGAGGGGCCCGCACUGCGUAUGCAGCUUUGGGCUGCAUGUUAAGUCGUUCUCGCUGGAAGCGAGACAAACAAA
rnacentral:tRNA from 1 species